CAAUAGCGUAUAUUAAAGUUGUUGCAGUUAAAAAGCUCGUAGUUGGAUUUCUGGUGGGAGCGAUCGGUCUGGCGCUUAGCGCGAGUACUUGCAUCGUCUCCGGCCAUCCUUGGGGAGAGUCUGUCUGGCAUUAAGUUGUCGGGCAGAGGAUCCUCAUCGUUUACUGUGAAAAAAUUAGAGUGUUCAAAGCAGGCUUAUGCCGUUGAAUAUAUUAGCAUGGAAUAAUAAGAUAGGACUUUGGUACUAUUUUGUUGGUUUGCGCACCAAAGUAAUGAUUAAUUGGGACAGUUGGGGGUAUUCGUAUUCCGUUGUCAGAGGUGAAAUUCUUGGAUUUACGGAAGACGAACUACUGCGAAAGCAUUUACCAAGGAUGUUUUCAUUAA
rnacentral:rRNA from 1 species